rnacentral:rRNA from 1 species
UAUAGGUUUGGUCCCAGCUUUCCUGUUAGCUUUUCAAUAGACUACACAUGCAAGCAUCCACGCCCCGGUGAGAAUGCCCUUUAAGUCAACCAGACUAUGAGGAGCGGGUAUCAAGCACACUAUUAGUAGCUCAUGACACCUUGCUUAGCCACACCCCCACGGGAAACAGCAGUGAUAAAAAUUAAGCCAUGAACGAAAGUUUGACUAAGCCAUAUUGACUAGGGUUGGUAAAUUUUGUGCCAGCCACCGCGGUYAUACGAUUAACCCAAGCUAACAGGAAUACGGCGUAAAACGUGUUAAAGCGCCACAUCAAAUAGAGUUGAGUUUUAAUUAAACUGUAAAAAGCCAUAAUUAUAAUAAAAAUAAACGACGAAAGUAACUUUACAACAGCUGACACACUAUAGCUAAGACCC